rnacentral:rRNA from 1 species
UGGCUCAGGAUGAACGCUGGCGGCGUGCCUAAUACAUGCAAGUCGAACGAGUUCUGAUUAUUGAAAGGUGCUUGCAUCUUGAUUUUAAUUUUGAACGAGUGGCGGACGGGUGAGUAACACGUGGGUAACCUGCCCUUAAGUGGGGGAUAACAUUUGGAAACAGAUGCUAAUACCGCAUAAAUCCAAGAACCGCAUGGUUCUUGGCUGAAAGAUGGCGUAAGCUAUCGCUUUUGGAUGGACCCGCGGCGUAUUAGCUAGUUGGUGAGGUAACGGCUCACCAAGGCAAUGAUACGUAGCCGAACUGAGAGGUUGAUCGGCCACAUUGGGACUGAGACACGGCCCAAACUCCUACGGGAGGCAGCAGUAGGGAAUCUUCCACAAUGGACGCAAGUCUGAUGGAGCAACGCCGCGUGAGUGAAGAAGGCUUUCGGGUCGUAAAACUCUGUUGUUGGAGAAGAAUGGUCGGCAGAGUAACUGUUGUCGGCGUGACGGUAUCCAACCAGAAAGCCACGGCUAACUACGUGCCAGCAGCCGCGGUAAUACGUAGGUGGCAAGCGUUAUCCGGAUUUAUUGGGCGUAAAGCGAGCGCAGGCGGUUUUUUAAGUCUGAUGUGAAAGCCCUCGGCUUAACCGAGGAAGUGCAUCGGAAACUGGGAAACUUGAGUGCAGAAGAGGACAGUGGAACUCCAUGUGUAGCGGUGAAAUGCGUAGAUAUAUGGAAGAACACCAGUGGCGAAGGCGGCUGUCUGGUCUGUAACUGACGCUGAGGCUCGAAAGCAUGGGUAGCGAACAGGAUUAGAUACCCUGGUAGUCCAUGCCGUAAACGAUGAAUGCUAGGUGUUGGAGGGUUUCCGCCCUUCAGUGCCGCAGCUAACGCAUUAAGCAUUCCGCCUGGGGAGUACGACCGCAAGGUUGAAACUCAAAGGAAUUGACGGGGGCCCGCACAAGCGGUGGAGCAUGUGGUUUAAUUCGAAGCAACGCGAAGAACCUUACCAGGUCUUGACAUCUCUUGAUCACCUGAGAGAUCAGGUUUCCCCUUCGGGGGCAAAAUGACAGGUGGUGCAUGGUUGUCGUCAGCUCGUGUCGUGAGAUGUUGGGUUAAGUCCCGCAACGAGCGCAACCCUUAUGACUAGUUGCCAGCAUUUAGUUGGGCACUCUAGUAAGACUGCCGGUGACAAACCGGAGGAAGGUGGGGAUGACGUCAAAUCAUCAUGCCCCUUAUGACCUGGGCUACACACGUGCUACAAUGGAUGGUACAACGAGUUGCGAGACCGCGAGGUCAAGCUAAUCUCUUAAAGCCAUUCUCAGUUCGGACUGUAGGCUGCAACUCGCCUACACGAAGUCGGAAUCGCUAGUAAUCGCGGAUCAGCACGCCGCGGUGAAUACGUUCCCGGGCCUUGUACACACCGCCCGUCACACCAUGAGAGUUUGUAACACCCGAAGCCGGUGAAGUAACCCUUUUAGGGAGCGAGCCGUCUAAGGUGGG